UUACCGCUUCAGACCGUUCGUUAUUUGCCUGAAAGUUCGAACAGUCUAAUUUGGGAAACGUAACGACGACACUUUCAAAAUUUGUUGUACAAACGUUUCACGCAUGCCAAUAAUCACUCAUAGUAUUCCAAUUGCUAUCAUCACAUGAAUAGAAUGCGUUACAUAAACAUUUCUGCUCCGACAUAAUGUUUCAGUUUACAGCUGCGGCCAUGAUGAUGCACCACCGUGUUACUACACUGUUAUUACAGGGAGCCUCUUACAUUAUGUGGCACUUGGUGAAGAAUGGAGUUUGAUUUAGCAACCCUCCUGCUGCGAGGUAGGUUCAUCUGGGACUCUCGAUAGGAAAGGUCCAUCUUUGAUUUAAAAACUCGUACAUCUACUUU